CAUGCAAGUCGAACGAGAUUUUCGGAUCUAGUGGCGCACGGGUGAGUAACGCGUGGGAACCUACCUUUUAGUACGGGACAACGUUUGGAAACGAACGCUAAUACCGUAUACUCCCUCCGGGGGAAAGGUCAGCCGCUGAAAGAGGGGCCCGCGUCUGAUUAGCUUGUUGGUAAGGUAAUGGCUUACCAAGGCUACGAUCAGUAGCUGGUCUGAGAGGAUGAUCAGCCACACUGGGACUGAGACACGGCCCAGACUCCUACGGGAGGCAGCAGUGGGGAAUAUUGGACAAUGGAGGCAACUCUGAUCCAGCAAUGCCGCGUGUGUGAAGAAGGCCCUAGGGUUGUAAAGCACUUUCAACGGUGAAGAUGAUGACGGUAGCCGUAAAAGAAGCCC
rnacentral:rRNA from 1 species